UACGGAGGGUGCGAGCGUUGCUCGGAAUCAUUGGGCGUAAAGCGUACGCAGGCGGCUGUUCAAGUCGGGUGUGAAAGCCCAGGGCUCAACCCUGGAAAUGCGCCCGAGACUGGAUGGCUUGAGUGCGGGAGAGGGAAGCGGAAUUCCUGGUGUAGAGGUGAAAUUCGUAGAUAUCAGGAGGAACACCGGUGGCGAAAGCGGCUUCCUGGCCCGACACUGACGCUCAUGUACGAAAGCGUGGGGAGCAAACAGG
rnacentral:rRNA from 1 species